GCCUCCGUGGCUCAGUGGUAGAGCGCUACAUUGGUAAUGUAGAGGUCGCGAGUUCAACUCUCGCCGGAGGCU
rnacentral:tRNA from 1 species